UACGUAGGGUGCGAGCGUUAAUCGGAAUUACUGGGCGUAAAGUGUGCGCAGGCGGCGUCGCAAGUCGAGUGUGAAAGCCCCGAGCUUAACUUGGGAAUUGCGCUUGUGACUGGCGUGCUGGAGUGUGGCAGAGGGAGGUGGAAUUCCACGUGUAGCAGUGAAAUGCGUAGAGAUGUGGAGGAACACCGAUGGCGAAGGCAGCCUCCUGGGCCAGCACUGACGCUCAUGCACGAAAGCGUGGGGAGCAAACAGG
rnacentral:rRNA from 1 species